GACGUAGGGCGCGAGCGUUGUCCGGAUUUAUUGGGCGUAAAGAGCUCGUAGGCGGCUUGUCGCGUCGUCUGUGAAAACCCGAGGCUUAACCUCGGGCCUGCAGUCGAUACGGGCAGACUAGAGUUCGGUAGGGGAGACUGGAAUUCCUGGUGUAGCGGUGAAAUGCGCAGAUAUCAGGAGGAACACCGGUGGCGAAGGCGGGUCUCUGGGCCGAUACUGACGCUGAGGAGCGAAAGCGUGGGGAGCGAACAGG
rnacentral:rRNA from 1 species